rnacentral:lncRNA from 1 species
AGUCUCGGUCAAAAACUUUCAUUAGGACACUUGCAUCUUAUACGCACGUUUUAAUACGAGGAGAAUGAAUUGAUGCAGAGAAAUCGAUGUCAAUGGGUCGGGCAGGACCAACCCCACCAAAGACCAUAAAUGGGCUUGGUUUCAUCAAUUAGUCUCAUAUAUCAGGCUGGGCCAAUGGAGCUCAAAUCGACGAGUCCAGAGGAGUUCUGGCU